ensembl:lncRNA
AGGAGGCAGGUAGCCUAGUGGUUAGAGGAGGCAGGGGGCCUGGUGGUUAGAGGAGGCAGGUAGCCUGGUGGUUAGAGGAGGCUGGUAUCCUGGUGGUUAGAGGAGGCAGGUAGCCUGGUGGUUAGAGGAGGCAGGUAGCCUGGUGGUUAGAGGAGGCAGGUAGCCUAGUGGUUAGAGGAGGCAGGUAGCCUGGUGGUUAGAGGAGGCAGGUAGCCUGGUGGUUAGAGGGGGCAGGUAGCCUAGUGGUUAGAGGAGGCAGGUAGCCUAGUGGUUAGAGGAGGCAGGUAGCCUAGUGGUUAGAGGAGGCAGGUAGCCUAGUGGUUAGAGGAGGCAGGUGGCCUAGUGGUUAGAGGAGGCAGGUGGCCUAGUGGUUAGAGGAGGCAGGUAGCCUAGUGGUUAGAGGAGGCAGGUAGCUUGAUGGUUAGAGGAGGCAUGUAGCCUAGUGGUUAGAGGAGGCAGGUAGCCUAGUGGUUAGAGGAGGCAGGUAGCCUAGUGGUUAGAGGAGGCAGGUAGCUUGGUGGUUAGAGGAGGCAUGUAGCCUAGUGGUUAGAGGAGGCAGGUGGCCUGGUGGUUAGAGGAGGCAUGUAGCCUAGUGGUUAGAGGAGGCAGGUAGCCUAGUGGUUAGAGGAGGCGGGUAGCCUGGUGGUUAGAGGAGGCAGGUAGCCUGGUGGUUAGAGGAGGCAGGUAGCCUGGUGGUUAGAGGAGGCAGGUAGCCUGGUGGUUAGAGGAGGCAGGUAGCCUGGUGGUUAGAGGAGGCAGGUAGCCUGGUGGUUAGAGGAGGGAGGUAGCCUGGUGGUUAGAGGAGGCAGGUAGCCUAGUGGUUAGAGGAGACAGGUAGCCUGAUGAUUAGAGGACACAGGUAGCCUAGUGGUUAGAGGAGGCAGGUAGCCUGGUGGUUA